CCUACGGGAGGCAGCAGUGGGGAAUAUUGCGCAAUGGGCGAAAGCCUGACGCAGCGACGCCGCGUGAGGGAUGAAGGUCUUCGGAUCGUAAACCUCUGUCAGCAGGGAAGAACGGUCACUGUGCUAAUCAGCAGUGAAUUGACGGGACCUGCAAAGGAAGCACCGGCUAACUCCGUGCCAGCAGCCGCGGUAAUACGGAGGGUGCGAGCGUUAAUCGGAAUUACGGGGCGUAAAGCGCUCGUAGGCGGUAUGUCAAGUCAAGGGUGAAAUCCCCGCGCUCAACGUGGGAACUGCCUUUGAAACUGGCGAACUGAAGUGUGUGAUAGGAUAGUGGAAUUCCAGGUGUAGGAGUGAAAUCCGUAGAAAUCUGGAGGAACAGCAGUGGCGAAGGCGACUAUCUGGCACAUAACUGACGCUGAGGAGCGAAAGCGUGGGUAGCAAACAGGAUUAGAUACCCCUGUAGUC
rnacentral:rRNA from 1 species